GCAUUGGUUGUUCAGUUGGUAGAAUUCUCGCCUGCCACGCGGGAGGCCCGGGUUCGAUUCCCGGCCAAUGCA